AUUGAACGCUAGCGGCCAGCCUAACACAUGCAAGUCGAGCGGAGCGGCAGACGGGUGAGUAAUGCCUAAGAAUCUGCCUGGUAGUGAGGGAUAACGUACGGAAACGAGCGCUAAUACCGCAUACUAUCAGAUGAGCCUAGGUCUGAUUAGCUAGUUGGUGGGGUAAAGGCCUACCAAGGCGACGAUCCGUAACUGGUCUGAGAGGAUGAUCAGUCACACUGGAACUGAGACAAGGUCCAGAAUCCUACGGGAGGAAGCAGUGGGGAAUAUUGGACAAUGGGCGAAAGCAUGAUCCAGCCAUGCCGCGUGUGUGAAGAAGGUCUUCGGAUUGUAAAGCACUUUAAGUUGGGAGGCGUUACCAACAGAAUAAGCACCGGCUAACGUCGUGCCAGCAGCCGCGGUAAUAC
rnacentral:rRNA from 1 species